rnacentral:tRNA from 1 species
AAUCAACAAGUUCAGUUGGUAGAGCAUGAGACUUUUAAUCACAGGCUUGUGGGUUUGAGCCCCAUGUUGGGCA